GAUGACGCUAGCGAUAGCUUAACACAUGCAGUCGGAGGGCAGCAUAUCUUAGCUUGCUUAAGAUAGAUGGCGACCGGCGCACGGGUGCGUAACGCGUAUGCAACCUGCCUGUAAUUAGGGAAUAACCCGGUGAAAGUCGGACUAAUACCCUAUAUUCUUCUUUCUCCGCAUGGAGGAGGACGGAAAGAUUUAUUGAUUACAGAUGGGCAUGCGUCCCAUUAGCUGGUUGGUAAGGUAACGGCUUACCAAGGCAACGAUGGGUAGGGGGACUGAGAGGUUGACCCCCCACACUGGUACUGAGACACGGACCAGACUCCUACGGGAGGCAGCAGUGAGGAAUAUUGGUCAAUGGGCGAGAGCCUGAACCAGCCAAGUCGCGUGAAGGAGGACGGUUCUAUGGAUUGUAAACUUCUUUUGUAGAGGAAUAACGGCAGCUACGUGUAGCUGAGAUGCAUGUACUCUACGAAUAAUAUC
rnacentral:rRNA from 1 species